rnacentral:rRNA from 1 species
CCUGGUUGAUCCUGCCAGUAGUCAUAUGCUUGUCUCAAAUAUUAAGCCAUGCAUGUGUAAGUAUGAACUAAUUCAGACCGUGAAACUGCGAAUGGCUCAUUAAAUCAGUUAUAGUUUAUUUGAUGGUACUUGCUACUCGGAUAACCGUAGUAAUUCUAGAGAUAAUACGUGCAACAAACCCCGACUUCUGGAAUGGAUGCAUUUAUUAGAUAAAAGGUCGACGCGGUCUUUCCCCGUUGCUCAGAUGAUUCAUGAUAACUUGACGGAUCGCACGUCCUUUGUGCUGGCGACGCAUCAUUCAAAUUUCUUCCCUAUCAACUUUCGAUGGUAGGAUAGUGGCCUACUAUGGUGGUGACGGGUGACGGAGAAUUAGGGUUCGAUUCCGGAGAGGGAGCCUGAGAAACUGCUACCACAUCCAAGGAAGGCAGCAAGCGCGCAAAUUACCCAAUCCUAACACGGGGAGGUAGUGACAAUAAAUAACAAUACCGGGCUCUUCGAGUCUGGUAAUUGGAAUGAGUACAAUCUAAAUCCCUUAAUGAGGAUCCAUUGGAGGGAAAGUCUGGUGCCAGCAGCCGCUGUAAUUCCAGCUCCAAUAGAGUAUAUUUAAGUUUUUGCAGUUAAAAAGCUCGUAGUUGGACUUUGGGUUGGGUCGUCCGGUCCGCCCUUUAGGUGUGCAGUGGUCGUCUCGUCCCUUCUACCGGCGAUGCGUUCCUAGCCUUAAUUGGUCGGGUCGUUCCUCCGGUGAUGUUACUUUGAAGAAAUUAGAGUGCUCAAAGCAAGACCAAGCUCUGGAUACAUUAACAUGGGAUAACAUCAUAGGAUUUCGGUCCUACUGUGUUGGCCUUCGGGAUCAGAGUAAUGAUUAACAGGGACAGUCGAGGGCAUUCGUAUUUCAUAGUCAGGGGUGAAAUUCUUGGAUUUAUGAAAGACGAACAACUGCGAAAGAAUUUGCCAAGGAUGUUUUCAUUAAUCAAGAAAGAAAGUUGGGGGUCGAAGACGAUCAGAUACCUUCCUAGUCUCAACCAUAAACGAUGUCGACCAGGGAUCGGCGGAUGUUUCUUUUAGGACUCCGCUGACACCUUAUGAGAAAUCAAAGUUUUUGGGUUCCGGGGGGGAGUAUGGUCGCAUGGCUGAAACUUAAAGGAAUUGACGGAAGGGCACAACCAGGAGUGAAGCCUGCGGCUUAAUUUGACUCAACACGGGGAAACUUACCAGGUCCAGACAUAGUAAGGAUUGACAGACUGAGAGCUCUUUUUUGAUUUUAUGGGUGGUGGUGCAUGGUCGUUCUUAGUUGGUGGAGCGAUUUGUCUGGUUAAUUCCGUUAACGGACGAGACCUCAGCCUGCUAACUAGCUAUGCGGAGGAUUCCAUCCGCGGCCAGCUUCUUAGAGGGACUAUGGUCGUUUAGGCAACGGAAUUUUGAGGCAAUAACAGGUCUGUGAUGCCCUUAGAUGUUCUGGGCCGCACUCGCGCUACACUGAUGCAUUCAACGAGUAUAUAUCCUUGGACGACAGGCCCGAGUAAUCUUUUUAAAGUGCAUCGUGAUGGGGAUAGAACAUUGCAAUUGUUGGUCUUAAACGAGGAAUUCCUAGUAAGCGCGAGUCAUCAGCUCGUAUUGACUACGUCCCUGCCCUUUGUACACACCGCCCGUCGCUCCUACAGAUUAAAUGGUCCGUUGAAGUGUUCGGAUCGCGGCGACGCGGGCGGUUCGCCGUCGGUGAUGUCGCCAGAAGUCCAUUGAACCUCAUCAUUUAGAGGAAGGAGAAGUCGUAACAAGGUUUUCGUAGGUGAACCUGCGGAAC